UUAAGCGACUAAGCGUACACGGUGGAUGCCCUGGCAGUCAGAGGCGAUGAAGGACGUGCUAAUCUGCGAAAAGCGUCGGUAAGGUGAUAUGAACCGUUAUAACCGGCGAUGUCCGAAUGGGGAAACCCAGUGUGAUUCGUCACACUAUCGUUAACUGAAUACAUAGGUUAACGAGGCGAACCGGGGGAACUGAAACAUCUAAGUACCCCGAGGAAAAGAAAUCAACCGAGAUUCCCCCAGUAGCGGCGAGCGAACGGGGAGCAGCCCAGAGUCUGAAUCAGCUUGUGUGUUAGUGGAACGGUCUGGAAAGUCCGACGGUACAGGGUGAUAGUCCCGUACACCAAAAUGCACAGGUUGUGAACUCGAAGAGUAGGGCGGGACACGUGGUAUCCUGUCUGAAUAUGGGGGGACCAUCCUCCAAGGCUAAAUACUCCUGACUGACCGAUAGUGAACCAGUACCGUGAGGGAAAGGCGAAAAGAACCCCGGCGAGGGGAGUGAAAAAGAACCUGAAACCGUGUACGUACAAGCAGUGGGAGCACCUUCGGGUGUGACUGCGUACCUUUUGUAUAAUGGGUCAGCGACUUAUAUUCUGUAGCAAGGUUAACCGUAUAGGGGAGCCGCAGGGAAACCGAGUCUUAACUGGGCGUUAAGUUGCAGGGUAUAGACCCGAAACCCGGUGAUCUAGCCAUGGGCAGGUUGAAGGUUGGGUAACACUAACUGGAGGACCGAACCGACUAAUGUUGAAAAAUUAGCGGAUGACUUGUGGCUGGGGGUGAAAGGCCAAUCAAACCGGGAGAUAGCUGGUUCUCCCCGAAAGCUAUUUAGGUAGCGCCUCGUGAACUCAUCUUCGGGGGUAGAGCACUGUUUCGGCUAGGGGGUCAUCCCGACUUACCAACCCGAUGCAAACUACGAAUACCGAAGAAUGUUAUCACGGGAGACACACGGCGGGUGCUAACGUCCGUCGUGAAGAGGGAAACAACCCAGACCGCCAGCUAAGGUCCCAAAGUCAUGGUUAAGUGGGAAACGAUGUGGGAAGGCACAGACAGCCAGGAUGUUGGCUUAGAAGCAGCCAUCAUUUAAAGAAAGCGUAAUAGCUCACUGGUCGAGUCGGCCUGCGCGGAAGAUGUAACGGGGCUAAACCAUGCACCGAAGCUGCGGCAGCGACACUAUGUGUUGUUGGGUAGGGGAGCGUUCUGUAAGCCUGCGAAGGUGUGCUGUGAGGCAUGCUGGAGGUAUCAGAAGUGCGAAUGCUGACAUAAGUAACGAUAAAGCGGGUGAAAAGCCCGCUCGCCGGAAGACCAAGGGUUCCUGUCCAACGUUAAUCGGGGCAGGGUGAGUCGACCCCUAAGGCGAGGCCGAAAGGCGUAGUCGAUGGGAAACAGGUUAAUAUUCCUGUACUUGGUGUUACUGCGAAGGGGGGACGGAGAAGGCUAUGUUAGCCGGGCGACGGUUGUCCCGGUUUAAGCAUGUAGGCUGAUUGUCCAGGCAAAUCCGGAUAAUCAAGGCUGAGGUGUGAUGACGAGGCACUACGGUGCUGAAGUAACAAAUGCCCUGCUUCCAGGAAAAGCCUCUAAGCAUCAGGUAACAUUAAAUCGUACCCCAAACCGACACAGGUGGUCAGGUAGAGAAUACCAAGGCGCUUGAGAGAACUCGGGUGAAGGAACUAGGCAAAAUGGUGCCGUAACUUCGGGAGAAGGCACGCUGGUGUGUAGGUGAAGCCCCUGCGGGUGGAGCUGAGACCAGUCGAAGAUACCAGCUGGCUGCAACUGUUUAUUAAAAACACAGCACUGUGCAAACACGAAAGUGGACGUAUACGGUGUGACGCCUGCCCGGUGCCGGAAGGUUAAUUGAUGGGGUUAUCCGUAAGGAGAAGCUCUUGAUCGAAGCCCCGGUAAACGGCGGCCGUAACUAUAACGGUCCUAAGGUAGCGAAAUUCCUUGUCGGGUAAGUUCCGACCUGCACGAAUGGCGUAAUGAUGGCCAGGCUGUCUCCACCCGAGACUCAGUGAAAUUGAACUCGCUGUGAAGAUGCAGUGUACCCGCGGCAAGACGGAAAGACCCCGUGAACCUUUACUAUAGCUUGACACUGAACAUUGAGCCUUGAUGUGUAGGAUAGGUGGGAGGCUUUGAAGCGUGGACGCCAGUCUGCGUGGAGCCAACCUUGAAAUACCACCCUUUAAUGUUUGAUGUUCUAACGUUGGCCCCUUACCGGGGUUGCGGACAGUGUCUGGUGGGUAGUUUGACUGGGGCGGUCUCCUCCCAAAGCGUAACGGAGGAGCACGAAGGUUAGCUAAUCCUGGUCGGACAUCAGGAGGUUAGUGCAAUGGCAUAAGCUAGCUUGACUGCGAGCGUGACGGCGCGAGCAGGUGCGAAAGCAGGUCAUAGUGAUCCGGUGGUUCUGAAUGGAAGGGCCAUCGCUCAACGGAUAAAAGGUACUCCGGGGAUAACAGGCUGAUACCGCCCAAGAGUUCAUAUCGACGGCGGUGUUUGGCACCUCGAUGUCGGCUCAUCACAUCCUGGGGCUGAAGUAGGUCCCAAGGGUAUGGCUGUUCGCCAUUUAAAGUGGUACGCGAGCUGGGUUUAGAACGUCGUGAGACAGUUCGGUCCCUAUCUGCCGUGGGCGCUGGAGAAUUGAGGGGGGCUGCUCCUAGUACGAGAGGACCGGAGUGGACGCAUCACUGGUGUUCGGGUUGUCAUGCCAAUGGCACUGCCCGGUAGCUAAAUGCGGAAGAGAUAAGUGCUGAAAGCAUCUAAGCACGAAACUUGCCCCGAGAUGAGUUCUCCCUGAGACUUUAAGUCUCCUGAAGGAACGUUGAAGACGACGACGUUGAUAGGCCGGGUGUGUAAGCGCAGCGAUGCGUUGAGCUAACCGGUACUAAUGAACCGUGAGGCUUAACCUU
rnacentral:rRNA from 1 species